CACCCCCUUCCAUAGUGCCAUCAUUUCAUCACUUUUACUUUGAUUUCCAUAUCAUUACCUCACCUAUGGGCCUGUGAUCACACACACACACACACACACACACACACACACACACACACACACACACACACACACACACACACACACGCGCGCACGCGCACACGUACACACACACACACACACAACCUCUUCCGUUACAGUUAUUACUUUAUAGAUCAGCAACAACUUGUGCUCUCUUUCUAAACUGCAGGGUUGCUGUACCAGAGAGUAAUGAACUGCCUUUCCUGUCAGUACAAGCUGCACACCUGCCCCUCUACCACUCAGGACUGCGGUGAGUAUCCAGUGGAGGCAGCAGAGGGGGGACAGGCAGUGUUGGACUGUUUCCUCCCCUGGCAUAGUCUAGUGGUGGGCCAGCCAGAUUAUCACUACACCUGGGCUCCAGGGACGCAAAGGACUGCAAAUCUGACAGAGGGUGAUUUCAGAGUGUUGGUGGUUACUGAGGAUUCCUCUGUGGUGCUGAACCAGCUGCAUGUCGAUGAGGAGGGCAUGUACCGCUGCCUCCUAACGGAUGGCAAAGGAACUGUCCUUUCACGCACACACUUCCUGCUCACUGUCACCCCGUCACCUGUCCCGACUCCCAGAUCUCUCCUCACCCUGCCCUCCCUCCCUCCUAGUUAUGAUGCCUCCCCCAUUUCUCACCCUCCCACUGACCUCCUGCUGGUCAUCAUCAUCAUAAUUACUGCCCUGAGUCUGACGGCCAGCCUAGGCCUUGCUAUUGCUUUUGGGUGAGAGAGGGAUGGAGGGUGAGAGUGGGGGACAGAGUGAAUGAUGGGGUGAGGGAGAGGGAGGGAGAAAGACAGAGAAAGGGGAGGAGGAGAUAGUGACAGAAUGAGUGAUUGAUUAAAUUAUGAAUGAUUGCUUAAAUAUUUGAGUGGGAGAGACAGAGAGGGGGAGAGAGAUGAUGGAGGAAUGAUGGAGGGAUUCAUUAGAAAAAAUAUGAAUGGAUGUUCAAAAGAUGAAUUGAGAAGUUUGGCCAUGUGAAAUUGGCAGAACCAGGACAGAUCUUCUGUGGUAGCAGACAAGUCCAAUCUCAUUUCCCUUCCAAAAUUCAAAAUAUGCCCUGUGUAGGAAAUCGCACCGAUAGAAUUGUUCCUCAUUACCCUCAUAUCCCACAGCCUCCCAACAGAUGUUACAUUUUGAAGUGUCUACUGUCAGUUGCCCGGAAUAGUAGAUACAGAAUUACAAUAAAUAGGAAAGAUACUACACAUACAGCAGAGUGAGAAGUAACAGAAAUGUAAACUUUUUCCUUGAAUAAUCAAGGACACAUUUCUGGUGUCAGAGUUGAAGAGAAAAUAGAAUGACAUCAUGUCAUAAAGACUGAACAAUGUGUGUGUGUGUGUGUGUGUGUGUGUGUGUGUGUGUGUGUGUGUGUGUGUGUGUGUGUGUGUGUGUGUGUGUGUGUGUGUGUGUGUGUGUGUGUGUGUGUGUGUGUGUGUGUGUGUGUUCUACCACCAGAUUGAUUACUCUGAGACAACAGAGAGAAGAGGAGGAGAGGGAAGGGAAGGGGAGAGAUGAUGACAGAGGAACAAGAAUGUGACUGAUGUGGAAUAUGAGAAGGGAUGGACAAGAUUUUGAGUUAAAUAAACACAAAAGAGUUAAGAGAAAGGGUGUAAAUUAAUAUUGAUACUGUUAAUAACUGUAUCUCAGAUAAUGUAGCACACACACACACACACAUCAUUUAAUUUAAUUCACUUGAUUGACCUCAAUAAGGUUUUCUGAACGGAGAGAAGAUUAUAGACACGUGGGAUAGGAUGAAAAGAGGGAGGAUGAGAGGAGUGAGGGAUGGAGGUAAAACUCCUGGAUUACAGACUUUUUCAGAUUAAUAUUCCCAAAC
rnacentral:lncRNA from 8 species